GAUGAACGCUGGCGGCGUGCUUAACACAUGCAAGUCGAACGAGAAGUGAAGACGGAAACCUUCGGGCGGAAGGCUUUAUUUCGAGUGGCGGACGGGUGAGUAACGCGUGGGUAACCUGCCUCAUACAGGGGGAUAACAGUUGGAAACGACUGUUAAUACCGCAUAAGACCACAGCACCGCAUGGUGCGGGGGUAAAAACUCCGGUGGUAUGAGAUGGACCCGCGUUCGAUUAGCCAGUUGGCGGGGUAACGGCCCACCAAAGCGACGAUCGAUAGCCGAUCUGAGAGGAUGACCGGCCACAUUGGGACUGAGACACGGCCCAAACUCCUACGGGAGGCAGCAGUGGGGAAUAUUGCACAAUGGGGGAAACCCUGAUGCAGCGACGCCGCGUGAGUGAAGAAGUAUUUCGGUAUGUAAAGCUCUAUUAGCAGGGAAGAAAAUGACGGUACCUGAGGAAGAAGCCCCGGCUAACUACGUG
rnacentral:rRNA from 1 species